UUUGCACAGAACUCCAGGUGCCUGCAGUAAAUAAGUGCCUAAUCUCUGGGGUGGCGGGACAGAGAGCUAUGUUUGCAAGCAAACCCUCAAGGACUGAGGCAGCUCCCAGAGCUGUGUCCUUUGGACAAAGGACCCUGUUCUCAUGGGCAGCUCCCCGCAAAGCUUGUGGCUGGGCUGGGUGGGCACUGUCCUGACACAUGAGGUGAACGGAAAGGGGUGGGGAGGAGUGAGGGACGCUGUUCCCGGUUACAGACAUUCAGUUCUAAACCUCCUCACUGUCAAGAGGACAAGAUGGCACGCAAGCUGCUGAAGAUGGCACGCAAGCUGCACUGACCCAGCUCUUGAACAGCGGAAGCUCAUAACUGCAAAGGCUACACUGAUUAAAAGAUACAAAUACUGUAUCAAGUUCUCUGUAUCAGUAUCACAAGGUUUUAAAACUGAUCCUUCACUAGAAAACACAAGCCAGUAUUGGUUAAAUUGAACAGAACGUGGGAACCUGCCAAUUCGGAAGAGCCACUCCAUGAAAACAAGUUAAUAUAUGAUAUUAGAAAGGGGAGGAAUAUUUACUGGCGUCUUCAGCACUGUGGCAGAGUUCUGGAGCCCACGUUCCUCUGCAGGGGAUCCGAGGAGGUUCUGUGUUGAUUCAUAUGAUCAAGAAGCAAGAAGCUGAACCAGAGGAGGUCUCACGGGGCUUUGGCUCUGAGCCAAACUACAGAGUCCUGCUAACCUGCGCCCCUUCCCCACAUCCUGCUGGAGUCACCGUCCAUCACACCAGGCUGGUGCAAUGUCACCCUGGACUGCAGGGCCCCAGGGAACACAGAGGACCUGAAUGUGACCUGGGAGAGCGAGGGCCUUCCCAGGGAGCUGGCGUGGAGUGGGACACCAGGACCAGCCCCCAGCUCCUGGAGCCUGACUGUGAACCUGUUCCUGAGCCAGCCCCAUGCCAGCCUCACCUGUGUGGUCAGCAACCAGGUGGACCAGAACACUGCCACCUUAGACCUGGGGGAAGUCUGUUUGCAUGGUUCGUACAUCACUCUAGUGGGAGGCAUCCUAGGUGCUGUCAUGGCUAUGCUGUUGAUCCUCCCAGGUGGACUGUUUGUUUGGAAGACAUGUGAGAAGAAGGAGAAAAUGGAGACUGGAAGAGGCAGGUUGCACUUCUUGCUCAUGGCACAGAUCCCUUCCCUCCCUCACUGAGCCCUUCCCUUCCUUCUGCAUGUUGCAGCUCAAUGAACUUCUCUGCAGAGGGGAUGAUGGGUGCCAUCAUGUCACUGGAGUUCCUAGCAGUGGGGGAGGGUACAGGUUUUCCAGGCUGAGAUUCAGGCUCCACUCUGUGAAUGACUCAGGAACAGGACUGCAGGAUGAUGACAGGGACCAUGGCUGUGGGGUCCUCUGUGCACGGCCGAGCCAGCCCGAGUCUCAGGAGGACACGCACGAGGGUAUCAGUGAGCAACAUCUGAAAGAAAAGGGGCAUCUGACUCCUAUCUACAGUGAGGUCCAUAAGCCACGCAGGCCAUGAAGGUAACAUCACUGGAAGAAGCUGAAGAAUCAGCAUUCCCAGGAUAUCUCUCCUCUGCUCCUGAUGCCUGCAGCUCUGGUCCAGCUCUGCUGGCUCUGCCCCUCCCAGCUCUAGUCCAGCUCCAGCUGCUCCUGGUCUGUGUUCCUCUGAUCUUCAUGCCGUCAACUCGCUGGACACACGUGGCCGAGUCAGAGGGAGUUUCCCUAUGUUUCCCUCCUACUCAGGAUCCUCACACUUGAGGGAUGAGCACUCUUCUGCCAUUGACUCAACUCCUGACCCUUCUUUUCCUGAAGCUUCCCAAAGGGGACCUUCCUGACUGUGUUAAUCCCCACAGCAUCUGCUGUGUGACUGAUGUGUGCCUUUCUGAGAACACGAGCCCAGGUAGGGGACCAUGUAGAGGUGUUGAUUACACCCCAGCGAAGGGAGGCAGGGCCUGGAUGCAGAGUUGGGAGGAAGCGUGGGGAGGUGGGAAUCCAUAAAGGACUGGGCUGAGGCUUCCACUGUACCUUGUGUAGGGCUUCCUUGCAGGCGUUGGGCAGUGUGUGUGAGUGUGUGUGUGUGUUUGUGUGUUUAUGUGUGGGUGCCCAUGUGUGUGAGUUUAUUGCACAUUGUACACUGGGUAUGGGCCUUUAUUCCAGGCCACCUGUGGUAACCUGGACCCCAGCUUUAGCCUCAGCCUAUGGGCCCCCAGACCACCUUCCUGCAGAAUGGUAGAGGAAUUGAUAUUAUCCCAGGCCAGAGAAUGACUUUGGUUGGGCAAAGUUGUGAGUUGUCUUAGAAAAGAAGCCUCAGCCUUCCCAUCUGGGACAGGGGCACUGGAGGUUAGACUGAAGUGUGAUGUCCUCUCACCCUCCUAUCAUGGGGUGUGAGGGGUGUGAGAGAUGGAGCUUAUGGGAUGGCCUGAACCUGCCUCUUUCAUUGACCCGUCAGUCCUGCUGGCCCAGUUCCUAGGUCAACCUCCUCUUUGCUCACUCACACCCUUCUGCCUGGAAUGAUGGCUUCCUCUCCCUCUCACUUGCCUCCAACCCUGCUUGUUGAAAUCCUACUACUUGUUCACAAAGUAUGUCUGGAUCCCAAAUGUUUGGAAAUGGUCUCUCCCACAUCUGACUCUAUCAAACACCUUGGACCUAACUAAAUCCCCUGCCACAGUCUGCCCAGGGUUGGUCAUGAGUCUUUCCUGCUGGACUCACCUGGGGCUUCCAGAGGAGGCUGAUGGGCUGUGGGAGCCAGGGACAAGGAGAUAAGCACUCAGGGUAUGAGCUAUUCUUCCUUCCACUCCUUUGGGGGUUCGGUAGACUGAAGACUCAGAGCACCGAGGCUGCUGAAGGUUCCUGGUGGUGAGUCCACAUAGAAGGAACGGUGGGUGAGAUGACCUCCCAUGACCUUGCCUGGUUUGGAGGUCUGAGGUGGGGGCUUCCCACCCCACCUUCAGCCUCACAUUGUCUGAGGUCCUGAGGCAGUCUGCACUAUGGUGUAUGGGAGCUUUUCCCUUCCUUGCGGGUCCUUACCUUCUGGAAGCCCCUGCCUCCUGCCUUAGGUCUCAGAUUUUGUUUUUAUUUUUUAUUUAUUUUUUUUAAAUUUUAUUUUAUUUUUAAACUUUACAUAACUGUAUUAGUUUUGCCAAAUAUCAAAAUGCAUCCGCCACAGGUAUACAUGUGUUCCCCAUCCUGAACCCUCCUCCCUCCUCCCUCCCUUGGUCUCAGAUUUUGUGUCAGAGGUGGACUCACUUGAGUGCCAUGAGAUGCCAUGGCUUGUUCCCUUCACAGCUCAGUUAAGCCACCUUACCUCUGACUUCAGAUAGUAAAGGGCUGGGCAGAGUCCCUGUGAGGAUUGAGCAUUAUGAAUCAGUGCUGGUGGGGGGCUGGCUGGGUGAGAGAGGAACAGGAGGGAUGACAUCUUCCCCCACUGGCUGAGCAUAAAGCAGAGGGCGUGAAAUAUGUCAUCCUCACACUGGCUUCCCGGGGGACUGGUCAUGGCUGGACAUCAAUGCCCAUAAGCCCAGGGGCAGGGUAAGAUUCUACCACCCAGUGUCUCUUCUCACUUCACCUGAAACAGGAAACAAAAAACAAAAAACAAAACAAAAAAGGGAAGGAAACUGGGCUUCCAUGCCUGUAUUGGACCAGGUUUUGUCACAGGCACUUUAGAAAUAUUUUCUUCUAAUUCUUACAUGAAUCCUCUAGGGUAGGUAUUAUUAUCUCCAUUUUUGCAGGACAGGUAAUUGGCAUCCAAACUAAUUGGUGACAGAGCAAAGCCUUAAAUCCAACACUGGAUAAUUCCAUAGUCAUAUUUAUCCCUUCAUCAUAGUCAUUAAAGGGCUUCCCAGGUGGCUCAGUGGUAAAGAAUCCAUCUGCCAAUGCAAGAGAUGCAGGAGACACAGGUUUGAUCCCUUGGUUGGAAAGAUCCCUGAGACAGAGAAUGGCAAUCCACUCCAGGGUUCUUGCCUGGAAAAUGCCAUGGACAGAGAAGUCUGGUGUUCUACAGUCCAUGGGGUCGCAAAGAGUCGGACAUGACUGAGCACAGCAUAGUACAUGGUCACUGAAGACCUUGGAUUUCUGGAAUAUUUAGAAACCUUCCAUUUGUUUCUCUGCCAAGGAUCCUAGUUUUCUGACUCAGGUGCUCCGACUCAAAAUGAGCUCAUCCUAAUGAUAGCUUGAGCAGCUGCUGGUUGAAAGAGGAAUUUUCUCUUAAGUGGACAAUGGGGGCUUGGUGGUCAGGAGAUGGGGAAUGAGGAACCCUGUGUUCUGGUGCAGACAAGACAUUCAGAGAUGAGAUGCUUCUCCCUCUUGGGUCUUAUUUGAGUUCAUUAAUCUUAUGAAAAGAAUGUGUAAGUACCAGCAUCCUGCCAUCAAAUUAAUUCCCUCUUUGUAUUACUAUUCAUCAAUUUAUUUAAUAGGUUUUACAGAAGCUUUUCAUUUAGACUUUUAAGAAUACUCUCAGGUAGAAAUUCACAUUGUACAGAUGGAGAAAUAAAAUUCAGAGAUGUUAAAUAUGUCAUGCAACUUCUCCCAAAUAUAAGUGGUGGAAGCAUGAUUUGGAUCUACAGGGAUCAUAAUUUCACUCAUUUUGACUCCUUCUCCCUCAGGCUAGACACCCAGUUAGCUACCAUGGUCCACUGGGUUGUCCUUCAUAAAACUUCUCAUAUUCCAUCCUUUUCUCAUUUAUUUUUAUUCCUAUUUUCCAGCUCCACCUAAGCUGAUGUUACAUUCCCCCAAGCAAUGUGAUACCUCCACAUCCUCCUACUCUUGCACUGUUCACUUUUCCAUUAGAGCCAUCCUAGCACUCGAUAGGACAUGACUGAGCGACUUCACUUUCACUUUUCACUUUCAUGCAUUGGAGAAGGAAAUGGCAACCCACUCCAGUGUUCUUGCCUGGAGAAUCCCAGGGACGGGGGGGCC